GCAAAUUUAGUCCUGCAAUGUAUGGCCAAUGGACUUCUUAAUUUGGAUAAAACCUUAAAAUAUGAGUCUUCAAAUGGCAAUGAGUAUGAUUGUAUUUGUACACAUAUUACAGUUUAGUAGUAUCAAUUUUUUUCAAUAACAAUUAUAUUAAUAACUUGUUGAUAUUAUUAUGGAUGGAUGUUCAAAAGUGGUUGGCAAAGUUGCAAGUAGUUAGACGAAUCAAACAGUAAUCAAUCGGUCUAUAAUCCUCUUUUUUUUAAGAGUAUAAUUAGUUCUAAUUUAGAUUCGAAUUUGAAAUCUCGAUAGUUCUUGUAAUGAUUUCGGUACUACUAAAUUAAAACUCAUUGAUUCAUCAAUCAAUUUAUUAUCUCAAUUUCUU
rnacentral:misc_RNA from 1 species